rnacentral:rRNA from 1 species
AGAGUUUGAUCCUGGCUCAGAUUGAACGCUGGCGGCAUGCCUAACACAUGCAAGUCGAACGCGAAAGGGUUUCGGCCUGAGUAGAGUGGCGGACGGGUGAGUAAUGUGUGGGAAUCUGCCCUGCAGUGGGGGACAACCCGGGGAAACUCGGGCUAAUACCGCAUACGACCUACGGGUGAAAGGGGGGUUUCGGCCUCUCGCUGCAGGAUGAGCCCACAUCCGAUUAGCUAGUUGGUGGGGUAACGGCUCACCAAGGCGACGAUCGGUAGGUGGUCUGAGAGGACGAUCACCCAGACUGGGACUGAGACACGGCCCAGACUCCUACGGGAGGCAGCAGUCGGGAAUUUUGCGCAAUGGACGAAAGUCUGACGCAGCAACGCCGCGUGAGGGAUGAAGGCCUUCGGGUUGUAAACCUCUUUUAUCAGGGACGAUAAUGACGGUACCUGACGAAUAAGUCACGGCUAACUACGUGCCAGCAGCCGCGGUAAUACGUAGGUGACAAGCGUUGUCCGGAUUUACUGGGCGUAAAGAGCGCGCAGGCGGUCGAUCAAGUCGAGUGUGAAAGCCCCCGGCUCAACUGGGGAGGGUCAUUCGAUACUGGUCGACUCGAAGGCAGGAGAGGGUAGUGGAAUUCCCGGUGUAGUGGUGAAAUGCGUAGAUAUCGGGAGGAACACCAGUGGCGAAGGCGACUACCUGGCCUGUUCUUGACGCUGAGGCGCGAAAGCUAGGGGAGCAAACGGGAUUAGAUACCCCGGUAGUCCUAGCCGUAAACGAUGGACACUAGGUGUUGGUGGUAUCAACCCCGCCAGUGCCGAAGCUAACGCAUUAAGUGUCCCGCCUGGGGAGUACGGCCGCAAGGCUAAAACUCAAAGGAAUUGACGG